rnacentral:lncRNA from 1 species
UAGUAUUGCUUGCCUCAGGGCGAUACUGCCGCACUAACUGGAUUGAGUCAUAACGGUUCGAUUUUGGGACACCUAUAGAAGGAGGGGGUAUUCUUCCCUAACCUACCGGCCUAAGCCUGAGCCUUCUUUCCCCCACCAUUGCUGAGCUCCAUUUCUUCAAGAUCUCCAUCUGUAGAGCUUCUCGAUUCUUUGCCAAUACUUUGAGGAUAGAGAGAGAAGAGCUUAAUCUAGGGUUUCACUAGUUGAUUCUCCUCAUUUUCUCAGUGGAUUAUGUUUUUCUUGGGUUUUGGGGAAUCCUAGAUGGAAGUUGCCUUCUUGACGCCAUUCUUGGUGUAGUUGGUGCUCCAGGGUUUGGGAAUGAACCCCCAAUUCAAUUGUGGAGUCGUGCCCUUCUCCUAGUUUGUAAAGGUCACGACUCCAGCGUCUGCCUUCAAGGAACCCAGUAGAGGAACUCACCUCGUGCUUUUGUGGUGCCGUGAGAGGAAAAUAGAGUGAAGAUUUAUUGUGUCUCUACCUUUGUGGUAGAGUACUCUCCAUGCAGAGAUGUACAUGCAUCUCCCAAAAGGUGAAACUUCAGGAUAUUUUUUCCAUCUCCGCAUGUGGCAUCAUUUCUUUCACUUCAUUAUCUAUUACUUGUAUAUGUGCUUCGGCUAUUGCUUCUAGGGUUGCAUUUACUUUAGACGUUUUAGUGAACAUAUGCAUCGAUGCUCGUAUCUAUUAAAAGUGAAAAAAAAAUAGUAAAAUUUGUUAGUUGCGUAUUCACCCACCUCACUAGAUCUAGUCAACUAUACUGAUCUUCCAAAUGCCCAUCUGCCCACGGGCCAUCGUGCCCCAACUUGUUCUCCUAUCUGGCUGACCUCCGUUGGCUUGCCGUCAUCGUGGGGACCCUGUCGACCGCCGCCGCAGCCCCAGUCGGCCGUCCAUCGUUCCUCAUGUGCGCCGCAGAGAUCUAUUGACGUUGUGCGCCGUCGUCGCCGUAGUGCACCACCGAGAGGGCGCCGCGCUGCCUCUAAGCUCACAUCUCUUUUUUCAUCAAAAUGAAAAAUUAAAAGUUUAAAACAAAAAGUCCAAAAAAAAUCAAAAGUUUUGAAAAUAAAAUGUUGAAAAAUCAAAAGUUUUAGAAAAUAAAUUACUAGGAUUAAAAUAAGCCAAAAAGGCAAAAAAAUUAAGAAAAACUGUUGAGACAGUCCCUAAACGUGUUGUCCUAAAUCAUCGCUAAAUACUCCACAUAUUUGGUGGAGCUUGCCAUGGAUAGCUUCACUUAAUUUUUCAUGUAGCUGGAGUCUUAUCUUGCUGCAUUAUUCAAUUAAUCACAGCAAAAGAUAUGAAUGACAUGCUGUCCCAAACACACCAUUUGGCAAACCGAUAGAAAAACCGAACCGGGGCCGCAAGGCAGACACGCAAUCUCAGGCCCGGAGGCCAAUCCCGCCAUGUGGGGUGCGCAUACUAGCUGUGACACGAACCCAUUCGGCAACCGCAUGCCGGGUCAUCCUUAUCCGAAUGUGGGCUGCGCUAAUAUAACCAGCCCCAGCUACGUCGUAUGUAACCAGAAAUAGAUGGGGGGCAGAUAGCUGAUCGGAGGUUUUUGUUUUGUCCUCCGCAUGACAACAAUCAAACGCGACAAGAGUCGUCACAAGGCUGCAA